CCUACGGGUGGCAGCAGUGAGGAAUAUUGGUCAAUGGGCGGGAGCCUGAACCAGCCAAGUCGCGUGAGGGAAGAAGGUACUGAGUAUUGUAAACCUCUUUUGCCAGGGGACAAAGGCGGCCACGGGUGGCCGUAAGAGGGUACCUGGAGAAAAGGCAUCGGCUAACUCCGUGCCAGCAGCCGCGGUAAUACGGAGGAUCCGAGCGUUAUCCGGAUUUAUUGGGUUUAAAGGGAGCGUAGGUGGAUUGUUAAGUCAGUUGUGAAAGUUUGCGGCUCAACCGUAAAAUCGCAGUUGAAACUGGCAGUCUUGAGUACAGUAGAGGUGGGCGGAAUUCGUGGUGUAGCGGUGAAAUGCUUAGAUAUCACGAAGAACUCCGAUUGCGAAGGCAGCUCACUGGACUGCAACUGACACUGAGGCUCGAAAGUGUGGGUAUCAAACAGGAUUAGAUACCCGGGUAGUC
rnacentral:rRNA from 1 species